AACGAACGCUGGCGGCAUGCCUAACACAUGCCAGUCGAACGAGACCUUCGGGUCUAGUGGCGCACGGGUGCGUAACGCGUGGGAAUCUGCCCUUGGGUUCGGAAUAACAGUUGGAAACGACUGCUAAUACCGGAUGAUGACGUAAGUCCAAAGAUUUAUCGCCCAAGGAUGAGCCCGCGUAGGAUUAGCUAGUUGGUGAGGUAAAGGCUCACCAAGGCGACGAUCCUUAGCUGGUCUGAGAGGAUGAUCAGCCACACUGGGACUGAGACACGGCCCAGACUCCUACGGGAGGCAGCAGUGGGGAAUAUUGGACAAUGGGCGAAAGCCUGAUCCAGCAAUGCCGCGUGAGUGAUGAAGGCCUUAGGGCUGUAAAGCUCUUUUACCCGGGAUGAUAAUGACAGUACCGGGAGAAUAAGCUCCGGCUAACUCCGUG
rnacentral:rRNA from 1 species